rnacentral:rRNA from 1 species
CAGGCCUAACACAUGCAAGUCGAACGGUAGCACAGAGAGCUUGCUCUCGGGUGACGAGUGGCGGACGGGUGAGUAAUGUCUGGGAAACUGCCUGAUGGAGGGGGAUAACUACUGGAAACGGUAGCUAAUACCGCAUAACGUCGCAAGACCAAAGAGGGGGACCUUCGGGCCUCUUGCCAUCAGAUGUGCCCAGAUGGGAUUAGCUAGUAGGUGGGGUAACGGCUCACCUAGGCGACGAUCCCUAGCUGGUCUGAGAGGAUGACCAGCCACACUGGAACUGAGACACGGUCCAGACUCCUACGGGAGGCAGCAGUGGGGAAUAUUGCACAAUGGGCGCAAGCCUGAUGCAGCCAUGCCGCGUGUAUGAAGAAGGCCUUCGGGUUGUAAAGUACUUUCAGCGGGGAGGAAGGUGUUGCGGUUAAUAACCGCAGCAAUUGACGUUACCCGCAGAAGAAGCACCGGCUAACUCCGUGCCAGCAGCCGCGGUAAUACGGAGGGUGCAAGCGUUAAUCGGAAUUACUGGGCGUAAAGCGCACGCAGGCGGUCUGUCAAGUCGGAUGUGAAAUCCCCGGGCUCAACCUGGGAACUGCAUUCGAAACUGGCAGGCUAGAGUCUUGUAGAGGGGGGUAGAAUUA